AUUCCAGCUCCAAUAGCGUAUACUUAAGUUGCUGCAGUUAAAAAGCUCGUAGUUGGAUUUCGGGUGGGAAUGGCCGGUCCGCCGUUUCGGUGUGCACUUGCUACGCCCACCUUGCUGCCGGGGACGUGCUCUUGAGUUUGCGCUCGGGACACGGAGUCGGCGAGGUUACUUUGAGUAAAUUAGAGUGUUCAAAGCAGGCCUACGCUCUGAAUACAUUAGCAUGGAAUAACACGAUAGGACUCUGGCCUAUCUUGUUGGUCUGUAGGACCGGAGUAAUGAUUAAGAGGGACAGUCGGGGGCAUUCGUAUUUCAUUGUCAGAGGUGAAAUUCUUGGAUUUAUGAAAGACGAACUACUGCGAAAGCAUUUGCCAAGGAUGUUUUCAUCA
rnacentral:rRNA from 1 species